AGUGAGGAUAGAGGCGCAAAGACCAUUAGUACAUAGUUUGAGGAUGAUGAGAUCCUGUGAAAGUUGUGGAAAGGGGAAUUUGCCGAAGCGGAUAGAGUCUCAUUCAUCUUGACGCUGGUUCUGUAUUGAAGAAAUCCAGAACUGUCAUAUAGGUAACUAUAUGGAGGGCUAUCUCACGC
rnacentral:ncRNA from 2 species